UAGGGAAUUUUCCACAAUGGGCGAGAGCCUGAUGGAGCAACGCCGCGUGCAGGAUGAAUGCCUUCGGGUUGUAAACUGCUUUUAUGUGCGAAGAAUUUGACUGUAACACAUGAAUAAGGAUCGGCUAACUACGUGCCAGCAGCCGCGGUCAUACGUAGGAUCCAAGCGUUAUCCGGAAUUACUGGGCGUAAAGAGUUGCGUAGGUGGAUUGUUAAGUGGGGCGUGAAAGUGUACGGCUCAACCGUAUUAUUGCGUUCCAAACUGGCAAACUAGAGUGCGAGAGAGGUAGAUGGAAUUCCCAGUGUAGGAGUGAAAUCCGUAGAUAUUGGGAGGAACACCGAUGGCGUAGGCAGUCUACUGGCUCGUUACUGACACUAAGGCACGAAAGCGUGGGGAGCAAACGGG
rnacentral:rRNA from 1 species